rnacentral:rRNA from 1 species
CGCCUUGCCAGCCCGCUCAGAAACUUAAAGGAAUUGACGGGGGCCCGCACAAGCGGAGGAGCAUGUGGUUUAAUUCGAUGAUACGCGAGGAACCUUACCUGGGCUCGAACGUAAGAUGACUGUAGGUGAAAGCUUACAUCUCUUCGGAGCAUUUUACGAGGUGCUGCAUGGUUGUCGUCAGCUCGUGCCGUGAGGUGUCGGGUUAAGUCCCAUAACGAGCGCAACCCCUACCUUUAGUUGCCAUCAGGUAAUGCUGGGGACUCUAAAGGAACUGCCUACGCAAGUAGUGAGGAAGGCGGGGAUGACGUCAAAUCAGCACGGCCCUUACGUCCAGGGCUACACACGUGCUACAAUGGCCGAUACAGAGGGCAGCUACCUGGUGACAGGAUGCAAAUCUCCAAAGUCGGUCUCAGUUCGGAUCGGAGUCUGCAACCCGACUCCGUGAAGUUGGAUUCGCUAGUAAUCGCGCAUCAGCCAUGGCGCGGUGAAUACGUUCCCGGGCCUU